GACGAACGCUGGCGGCGUGCUUAACACAUGCAAGUCGAACGGAAAGGCCCUGCUUUUGUGGGGUGCUCGAGUGGCGAACGGGUGAGUAACACGGGAGUAACCUGCACGUGACGGUGGGAUAACUUCAGGAAACUGGGGCUAAUACCGGAUAGGAGCUCAUGCUGCAUGGGGGGGGGUGGAAAGUUUCGGCGGUGGGGGAUGGACUCGCGGCGUAUCAGGUUGUUGGUGGGGUAGUGGCUUACCAAGGCUUUGACGGGUAGCCGGCCUGAGAGGGUGACCGGCCACAUUGGGACUGAGAUACGGCCCAGACUCCUACGGGAGGCAGCAGUGGGGAAUAUUGCACAAUGGGCGGAAGCCUGAUGCAGCAACGCCGCGUGCGGGAUGACGGCCUUCGGGUUGUAAACCGCUUUCGCCUGUGACGAAGCGUGAGUGACGGUAAUGGGUAAAGAAGCACCGGCUAACUACGUG
rnacentral:rRNA from 1 species